GUCCUUAUCUCCGGCUACAGUCGAGACAGGCGACAAGGAUAACACCGGGGCGAGAGCGGGCUCCGGCGGCGAUUUCGCCAGUCUCUUCCUCUCCGGCGGGCGGUCCGACGCUGGAGAGGGAGGUGAGCCAGUGAAUCGCCGUGCGAAUGUAUAUAGGUUAGAUAGUUCUCAGUCUAGACCUAGGGUGUACUUGCCGUCGGUGACGACGGUAGAGCUAUGGUUGCCGGGGGAGCGGUCGUGAUAGAGCUCCUCCGCUGGCGAAUAAAGCUGAUCUCCGGUGAUGGCGGCGACUCCGGUGUCUUCUCCGACGAGAUUUUUGGCAAGAUCUUUGGGAGGGAUGGCUGAUGCGCGUUCAGUGGAUUCAAAGCAUCAUGGAUGGUCCAAGGUGCCGGGUCUUGCAGCAGUGUUCAAGAUAUUGGAGUCCCUUGACAUGGCGGAAGGAGGAUUUGGCCGGGCUUCAGUCAUCUGAGGUCGCCGGCGUGGAGAACGAAGAUGGAGACAUCGCCGGAUGUGUGCGUCAUUUCCGGAUGUGUGUGUCAUUUUCAAAUGUACUAGGGUGUUUCCUACAAAAAGGCAGGGGCGUACUGUAUGCGGCUUUAAUACAGUUCUCCCUUUCGCAAAAAAAAGUAUAUAGAUUUUC